rnacentral:rRNA from 1 species
GACGAACGCUGGCGGCGUGCUUAACACAUGCAAGUCGAACGGAAAGGCCCUGCUUUUGUGGGGUGCUCGAGUGGCGAACGGGUGAGUAACACGUGAGUAACCUGCCCUUGACUUUGGGAUAACUUCAGGAAACUGGGGCUAAUACCGGAUAGGAGCUCCUGCUGCAUGGUGGGGGUUGGAAAGUUUCGGCGGUUGGGGAUGGACUCGCGGCUUAUCAGCUUGUUGGUGGGGUAGUGGCUUACCAAGGCUUUGACGGGUAGCCGGCCUGAGAGGGUGACCGGCCACAUUGGGACUGAGAUACGGCCCAGACUGCUACGGUAGGCAGCAGUGGGGAAUAUUGCACAAUGGGCGGAAGCCUGAUGCAGCAACGCCGCGUGCGGGAUGACGGCCUUCGGGUUGUAAACCGCUUUCGCCUGUGACGAAGCGUGAGUGACGGUAAUGGGUAAAGAAGCACCGGCUAACUACGUG